rnacentral:lncRNA from 1 species
AAAAAAAGAAACUGAGUAUAGCCGUGCGGCUAUACUAUUUUUAAUAUAAAAUGGCGCCACGUGUCGACUUUUUAAAAAACACCGAGUAUAGCCGUGCGGCUGUACUAUUUUUUGGUCUUAAAAAAGGAGCCUCCAGCGAUAAGGCGCCACGUGUCCCCAAAGAGUAUAGCCGCCCGGCUAGACUAUUUUUCAAAAAGAAAAAUAUAGUACAGCCGCACGGCUAUAC